UAAAUGUGCGUUUUCAAGUAGCAAAUAGAUCCAUUUUGCAACCAAAGACCACACAACCUAUUAUUAUUACAAAUUACAAAUAAAAUACAACAACUAUGGUUCAGCUAUUCCACCUUUUUCUUCUCAUGCCUGUGCUGUUUUCUCUGCCUUUUGCAUCUAUCUGUUAAAGAUUUCGGUUUCAAUAAGCUAUGAUGAAAUGGCAAGAUAGAAAGAAAAAAAUUUGUAUAUUACAUUCAUCCACAAAAUUCAUGCCCCUUUCACACUCUGUCUCUCUCACCAGUUUACUAUCUCCUUCCCACAAUAUCAGUAACUUGUGCGCCUUUGAUCUUUUUUUGCUGGGGUGCCUGAAUAACUCACAAACAAGUUGGACAUGGGACCAUAAAUUCCUUUAUGUUUGGAUUAGAGUCUGUAAAGUCCGGGUCUAAACAUGAGGAGGUACGAAAGUAAUUGGGGUUAGCCCUUUCCAACUUUCAUUCUGUAUUUCUAUAUGGUUUCCUACAAUUAGGAAUAUUAACAUAUUAAAAUAGUCCAUGUUAAGAGAAAUAGUUAACGUAGCUAAUUUAAUUAAUAUUUGAGCUUAAAUUUAAAGGGCAUACAACUUCGAUAUAAAGUAUAUAUUUGUUUUAUAACAAUAUAAAGUUAUGCCAAAUAAUUGCAUAACUUCAAUUUUCAACUUUUUAUUUGAUAAUUUGGCAAAUUUUUUUAAUAAAAAAUAGUAUUUAUUUAUUCGAAUCGAUAAAAAUUACAUUAAGGAAGAACAAUACAAUUUAAACUUGUUAAAAAUAAAAGGAUGAAUCUGGGAACAAAUUCACACAAUCAAUAUUUAUAACAUAAAACGAUAAAAUGUCUACAAAUAUGACAAAAUUUAUAAAUUAAACAAAAUGAAUGUGUCUCGAGUACUUAUGCCUCCGAAGCCUCGAAUACUUAUGCCUCUAAAGUUGCCCUAUUAAAUUUCCAGUUGAUCGAAGUUGAUGUGUCAUUCUGAACUAAAAAAACAAUGCAACAAAAUAACAAAUCAAAACAAUACCUCAGUAGGACAAAAAACUAAAACAACGUCGCAUUAAGACGACAAAAAAA